CAGUGGUGAAGCAGGCAGGCUGUGGAUAUCAACAGGAAAUGAGCACGGGAGAUUAAGUUAAUGGAGACCCGACGAUGUUGCCUCUCAUCACCCAUCAUGGACGCACCUUUGCCAGCGAGACGAACAGCUGCACCGACGGGCCCCUGGGGCUGCUCUCAACCUCUAUAGCUGUGCCGGAGGAUUUGUGUUACGCCGCGGGACUCUUGCAUGAUCUGUCAGAGAACGCGCUGAAUGUUGGUCGCCGUCCAUCUCUCCGAGCGCUCAGUGAUUGCUGGUGCCGCUUUGGGGAUAGGUGGCCGUUUGACCUUUGAAUGAAUGCGCUGAUGGGGGCCGCUGAGUCCACUCUGGAGCAGUUCCUGAGAGCAUAUAGAUACAACAGUGAGGUCUAAUGCAACAGCGCAAUGCAGAUAGGGAGAAGACUUGUGGAGGAUUCAUUCACAAUGCUGCAGCAUAUUAACUGUUCUGACUGCGGGCUCUUUCAUUAAAGAAAGGUAUACACAUG